CAGAAGUGUUGCUGCGUUUAGGGCAUUCAGCCUGUGAAUUUCUGUCUGCUGCCUCGCUGUCAAAGCCACAGGAGCUCCUGAAGGAGAAAUUCUGAACCGCGUCCAGCAUACAAUAAAUCUACUCAGCACUAGAGCCUGUCUCUCUUUCCUGUCUUCAGUUUGGGGCUUUUUCCUUUUUGUUCCUGCUCUGUAUCUGAUGCCAGGGAUCUCCAACGUCAUGUCUUCCUCCAGAUGGUGCCUCCAGCUCCCAGCAGCUUCAGCCGCCAGCAUAGCCAAUGGUCAGGGAUGGUGAUGGGAGCCAUCCCAGCCUACAUUCCAACCAUGCAGACGCCAGUGGCUUCACCGACCUGUCUCCCAAUCCAGAAGCGUGUGACCAAG